GAGAUCAGAACAAAUUUAUCUUGAUUGCAUUGGACAGUACAAAUAUGAAAUUACUUCUGUUAGUACAAACAUCAACUUGUGGAGAAAGUCACCCCAUUGACUUAGAUAAUGAAAAAGGAAAAAAGUCACUAAGGCACUACCACUAUAAUGCAGAAGAGUCAAAAUUUUUUGGGGAACGGAUAGCGAAGGAUGCUCAGCUCUGCUUGACCUAAAUGAUCCUCCAAUGAGGUUCUGUUUAGAAGCACAAAGCUUGACAAGGGAUGGAGCAUAUACCAACAAAAAGGGUUUUAGGGGGUGCCCCACUAACAUCAAUACCAAUUGGCACUGUAGAGGGCAUGUGAAUUGUGAAGGAUAAAAAAAUAAAUAAAAGCCAGGCAAGCACCAUGCAUGCAAGAUGCUGACAAUGAUCUCCAUGUCCCUAGAAUUCCAGUACAUAGAGGAUAAAAAGGGCACAUAUUUAAAGUAUAUAUAAAAGAGAGUCUAAGACAGUGAGCCUGAGAUUUGAGCUAAGUCAUGCUCACGUGAAGUGAUGGACUGCCCACUUAGGUUCACUCAAAAAGAAUUACAACUUGGAUCCAACCUUGCAUAAAAAGAUGCUGAUACUGCCCUGGUGCUCCACUGACACCACUACCUAUAGGCACUGCAACAAAGGUGGCAAAGCACCAUAAAUGCAUGAUCAAAAUCAUCAUGUCUCUAAAUUCCCAGCACAUUAAGUAUUUAAGAUAAUAUCACAGAGGAUAAGGGGAAACCACAAGUAUGUUUAAAGCAUUAAAAAAAUAUAUAAAAAGAAACGGACAGUGGCAGAUUUUUCAGUAAUAACAAGUACAACUGGAUCCAGCACCAAGAGAGUACCAAGGGGGCCAUUGAUUAUGAGCAUAUGCUAAAGACAUAAAGAAGCACAUAAAGCACUGUUACAAGGCAAAGGAAAUAAGAACAGUCAAAUAGACUUAAAAGUUUACAGUACAACAUUGCAUUAAAAGUAGUACUAACUAGUAACAGGCCAGACAGAAUACCUGCUAGUAGAAUAGAGUAAUACAUAUUAAACAUCAAGCCAAUCUUCACUCAACUAAAGAGUACAUAGAAACUGAGGUUACAGAGAAAUUUAAAUUUAAGAGAGAACAAUCAUUAAUGUCUUCACUUUGUGGCAACCAACCUAUAAUUGGAUCGUUGGAACAUGAACAUGGUUGCCUAAUAAAGCUGCCAUCAUUAUUCACCUAAUACCAACCAGCCAAGAGAGAGGGAAGCCAACCGGUGCAUAAUUGCCCGUAUCUUAGACAUGGAGUUAAAUACCAGACGAAAUUAAAACUUAAUUCUUAAAAUUCCCAGCUCCAAUCUUCUGCACUUCAACUUUGAGAGACUUUAGAUAUCUGACUGCUUCAUCAAUAACCAUUACUGUAUUCAUUUGAUCACCACCAGGUACAAUUCCUCUCAGUGCCUUCACCAUCUUCUUCAUCUUCUGUCGUUUCCUUUCACUGUUAAUGCUGCUACCAUUUCCAGAGGAGUUCUGAAUAGAAGAAGAUCCAUUUUUCCAGGGCUUAGAACCACAAGUUGAGUACGAAUCAGGGGAGUUGCUUCCAUGAUUUCCAUAAGUUCGUGCUGUGCUAACUUCUUCCUCAUCAUAUUCAUCCUGUUCAUCCUCUUCCAAGCUCAAUAAUGCAUCAAUAUCAUCUGAAUCCUCUUUUAGAGAAGAAGAAGAUACUUCUCUUUCAAUACCAUUGAUCUCUUCUCUAUCAAAAUUCUCUGGGUUGUAACUUCCAUACAUAUUUAAGCCAGGACCACUGAAUUUGUGGGCAACUGCAGGAUGAAACAUAAUUUGGCUUCGAUGAUCGUUCUGAUCGAAAAUAAUGAAAUUCUUUGGGCAAACCUCAGAAGGUUGAAAUUCAAUGCCAUGAACAGGCAUCAAAUGCUUUCCAGUGGGAGGUAGUGCUGCAGCAAAAGAAGGUGCAACUGGAAUAUGCAUGUAAUUAUUACCCCUUUGAUUUGCAAAGUGGGGCACUGCCUUGUUGGGUUGAAAUUGCUGGUCACUCUGCAUCAGACGCCCACCUUGGAUUAAAAAGUCAAAGAGAAUGAUGGAUUUUUUUUGGCUUUGGAUUGGUGGUUAUUUGGUUUCAAAUUCGAAGAAGGUUUCUAAACUGAGAAAAACACUAUAUAGCAAAUCCACAUAUAGCCAUCCUGCAUAAAUAGCUGUCUAUUCUAAAUGAACAACUACCAGAAUCAAAUAGUUCAUCUUUGUCAUCGGCUUCUUACGUAUGAACACAACCAGAGGCAAUUCGUCCCAAAACCCAAUUCCCCAGAGCUUAGUAAUGCUAGACUACGUAACAGGCUUAAGCAACUGGCGGAAAUAUUCAGCCUGACAAACUUGCAUCACUUGGUAACAUGCAGUAAUCCCAACAAUCAUUUUAAUCUUCCCUACUUCUUUCACAGCUCGAUACCUCUUUAUGGUUACCGCAAUGUACAUUCUCACUCCUCAAACCGCUUUUAAAUUGAAACCGCACUAGAUAUAAGAGUUCCUUCACCAAUCAAAAAGGAUUUACCAAAGCGAUCUUAUUUACAGUAUGACACGAAAGAAAACCACCAGGCGAAUACAGUUCCGACUGUAAUUCACAAAUGAAGAAGCCCACGGCAUGUUGCUUUCCUUCUCCAAAUCCAAAUGAGUACGUAAAUGAACUUCAAGCCUACUGCCAAAUAGAUUACAAAUCACCAAAAUGAGUUUUAGGAAUAAAAAAACAAAUGAAUAAACCUGAUUAUUAAACACGUAACAAUCAAAUAUCCAAUCAAAGAACUAUGGUUCUUCGAUAUCAAGCACAGCCCACAAGGGUCACUAGUCAGCAAAAUGAAUGAGACAGCAACAAAAACAUUAUGCCGCUUUUUUUCAAAAUAAAUAAAUAAAUAA
rnacentral:misc_RNA from 1 species